rnacentral:rRNA from 1 species
UGGGUAACCUGCCCUUAACACUGGGAUAAGCCUGGGAAACUGGGUCUAAUACCGGAUAUGACUCCUCAUCGCAUGGUGGGGGGUGGAAAGCUUUUUGUGGUUUUGGAUGGACUCGCGGCCUAUCAGCUUGUUGGUGAGGUAAUGGCUCACCAAGGCGACGACGGGUAGCCGGCCUGAGAGGGUGACCGGCCACACUGGGACUGAGACACGGCCCAGACUCCUACGGGAGCAG